rnacentral:rRNA from 1 species
GUGCCUAAUACAUGCAAGUCGAGCGAAUGAUGAGGAGCUUGCUCCUCUGAUUUAGCGGCGGACGGGUGAGUAACACGUGGGUAAUCUGCCUGUAAGACGGGGAUAACUCCGGGAAACCGGGGCUAAUACCGGAUAAUAAGAGAAGAAGCAUUUCUUCUUUUUGAAAGUCGGUUUCGGCUGACACUUACAGAUGAGCCCGCGGCGCAUUAGCUAGUUGGUGAGGUAACGGCUCACCAAGGCGACGAUGCGUAGCCGACCUGAGAGGGUGAUCGGCCACACUGGGACUGAGACACGGCCCAGACUCCUACGGGAGGCAGCAGUAGGGAAUCUUCGGCAAUGGGCGAAAGCCUGACCGAGCAACGCCGCGUGAGCGAUGAAGGCCUUCGGGUCGUAAAGCUCUGUUGUUAGAGAAGAACAAGUACGAGAGUAACUGCUCGUACCUUGACGGUACCUAACCAGAAAGCCACGGCUAACUACGUGCCAGCAGCCGCGGUAAUAC